ACAUCCUGUUUUCUCUCUUAGAUCCGUGGAUGAGGGAUGGCGGACCCUCACCCCCUGAGUUCCUGGGGCCCUGCCGGAAAUGCUGCCGUGGGCUGGACAUCCUGCCCCUACAGGUUGCAAAUGAGGACACCACAGCACAGAGAGCUCAGGCGGCCUGCCCAGUGUCACACAGCCACUCCUGGCAGCAAUCUCGGACUCCAUGAGGAAGCAGGAGGUGCGGACAGGCGGGGAGGCUGGCCAGGGCCACGGCGCUGGCUCCCCAGCUGAGCAGGUGAAAGCUCUCGUGGACCUGCUGGCAGGGAAGGGCGGUCAGGGCUCCCUGGCCCCACAGACCCCCGACAGAGCACUGGACUCCCCUCUGGGCCCCCACAGCAAUGACUUGAGAAUACAGAAGUACCGCGAGGCCCUGCUGAGCACGGUGAGAGGUGGCCAGGAGCUGGGCAGCCCCUCGCCCAGGCUGACCAGCCUCCUCCUGGUGGAGGGCCUGACGGACCUGCAGCUGAAGGAACACGACUUCACGCAGGUGGAGGCCACACGCGGGGGCUGGUGCUCCACCAAGACCAUUGCCCUGGACAGGCUCUUCCUACCUCUGUCUCGGGUGUCCAUCCCGCCUCGGAUCUCCAUCACCAUUGGAGUGGCCGGUGUGGGCAAGACCACCUUGGUGAGGGACUUUGUCUGCCUCUGGGCCCGGGGGCAGGUCGGUAAGGACUUCUCACUGGUGCUGCCUUUGACCUUCCGGGAUCUCAACACCCACGAGAAGCUGUCUGCAGACAGACUCGUCCGCUCUGUCUUCCCGCAUGUUGGGGAGGCUGGCCUGGCAGCAGCAGCCCUAACUAGGGCCCUCCUGAUCCUGGACGGCCUGGACGAGUGUAAGACACCUCUGGACUUCUCCAAUACUGUGGCCUGCACUGACCCCAAGAAGGAGAUCCAGGUGGACCACCUGAUCACCAACAUCAUCCGGGGCAACCUCUUCCCAGAAGUUUCUGUCUGGGUCACCUCCCGCCCCAGUGCGGCUGGCCAGAUUCCUGGGGGCCUGGUGGACCGGAUGACCGAGAUCCGGGGCUUUAACGAGGAGGAAAUAAAGGUGUGUUUGGAGCAGCUGUUCCCUGAGGACCAGGUCCUCUCGGGCUGGGUCCUGAGCCAGGUGCAGGCCGACAGGGCCCUCUACCUGAUGUGCACCAUCCCAGCCUUCUGCCGGCUCACGGGUUUGGCACUGGGCCACUUGUGCCACAACAGGCCGGGGCCCCAGGACGCAGAGCUGUGGCCUCCAAGGACCCUGUGUGAGCUCUACUCUUGGUACUUCAGGAUGGCCCUUGGUGGGGAGGGGCAGGAGAAGGGCAAGGCGAGCCCUCGCAUUGAGCAGCUGGCCCACAGUGGCCGCAAGAUGGUGGGGACACUGGGCCGGCUGGCCUUCCAUGGGCUGGUCAAGAAGAAGUACGUGUUCUACGAGCCGGACCUGAAGGCAUUUGGCGUGGACCUGGCUCUGCUGCAGAGCACCCUGUGCAGCUGCUUCCUGCAGCGGGAGGAGACCUUGGCCUCCUCGGCAGCCUACUGCUUCACCCAUCUGUCCCUGCAGGAGUUUGUGGCGGCCGCGUACUACUAUAGCGCAUCCAAGAGGGCCAUCUUCGACCUUUUCACCGAGGGUGGCGUGUCCUGGCCCCGGCUCGGCUUCCUCACGCAUUUCAGAAGCACGGCCCAGCGGGCCAUGCAGGCUGAGGAUGGGCGGCUGGACGUGUUCCUGCGCUUCCUCUCGGGCCUCUUGUCUCCAAGGGUCAAUGCCCUGCUGGCUGGCUCCCUGCUGGCCCAGGGUGAGCACCAGGGCUACCGGGCCCAGGUGGCUGAGGUCCUCCAGGGCUGCCUGCGCCGCGACACCGCGGUCUGCGCCCGGGCGAUCAAUGUCCUGCACUGCCUGCAUGAGCUACAGCACACGGAGCUGGCCCGGGGUGUGGAGGAGGCCAUGGAGAGUGGGGGCCUGGCCAGGCUGACCAGCCCCCAUCACCGUACCGCCCUGGCCUACCUCCUGCAGGUGUCGGACACUUGUGCCCAGGAGGCCAACCUGUCCCUAUGCCUCAGCCAAGGCGUCCUCCAAAGCCUGCUGCCCCAGCUGCUCUACUGCCGGAGCCUGAGGCUGGAUACCAACCAGUUCCAGGAUUCCGUGAUGGAGCUGCUGGGCAGUGUGCUGAGUGGAAAGGACUGUCGCAUUCAGAGGAUCAGUUUGGCUGAGAACCAGAUCAGUAACAAAGGGGCCAAAGCUCUGGCCAGAUCCCUCCUGGUCAACAGAAGUCUGACUACUCUGGACCUCCGCAGUAACUCCAUUGGACCUCAAGGGGCCAAGGCUCUGGCCGAUGCUCUGAAGAUCAACCGCACUCUGGCCUCUCUGAGCCUCCAGAGCAACAUGAUCAAGGAUGAUGGUGCCAGGUCCAUAGCUGAGGCCUUGGCUGCCAACAGGACCCUCUCCGUGCUGCACCUGCAGAAGAACACCAUCGGGCCCAUGGGAGCCCAGCGGAUGGCAGAUGCCCUGAAGCAGAACAGGAGUCUGAAGGAGCUCAUGUUCUCCAGUAACAGCAUUGGUGAUGGAGGCGCCAAGGCCCUGGCUGAGGCCCUGAAGGUGAACCAGAGCCUGGAGAGCCUGGACCUGCAGAGCAAUUCCAUCAGUGACACAGGAGUGGCAGCGCUGAUGGGGGCCCUCUGCGUCAACCAGACCCUUCUCAGCCUCAACCUUCGAGAAAACUCCAUCAGCCCAGAGGGAGCUCAGGACGUGGCGCAUGCUCUCUGCACCAACAGCACCCUGAAGAACCUGGACCUGACAGCCAACCUCCUGCACGACGAAGGUGCCCAGGCCAUCGCGGUGGCAGUGAGAGAAAAUCGUGCCCUCACGUCCCUUCACCUGCAGUGGAACUUCAUCCAAGCUGGUGCUGCCAAGGCCCUGGGACAAGCACUACAGCUCAACAGGAGCCUGACCAGCCUUGAUUUACAGGAGAACGCCAUCGGGGACGAAGGCUCCUCUGCGGUGGCCAGUGCGCUGAAGGCAAACACGGCCCUCACUGCUCUCUAUCUCCAGGUAGCCUCCAUUGGUGCCCCGGGGGCCCAGGCGCUAGGGGAGGCCCUGGCUGUGAACAGAACCUUGGAGAUUCUUGACUUAAGAGGAAAUGCCAUUGGAGUGGCUGGAGCCAAAGCCCUGGCGAAUUCUCUGAAGGUCAACUCAAGUCUCCGAAGACUCAAUCUUCAAGAGAAUUCCUUGGGGAUGGACGGGGCAAUAUGCGUUGCCACUGCACUGUCUGGAAACCACGGCCUCCAGCACAUCAAUCUCCAGGGAAAUCACAUUGGGGAAUCCGGUGCCAGGAUGAUCUCAGAGGCUAUCAAGACAAAUGCUCCCUCAUGCACUGUUGAAAUGUGAGCAAAACAAGUUCCUGGUGAACUGGGCAGGAGGACAGACAGACACAGCUGGAAGCUUUCGAACAAAAAGACCAUUUUCCAGGGUGCCUUCCUGUGGUCUGGGAAUGAUGCUGAGUUGCAUGAGAGCUGGUUUCCUGCAAGGAGGCGGGAAAGGUGCUGCCAAAGCUGAAAGCACCUCUCCCGGUCCAGGGUCAGUCCAGGCGGGGGCGAGAUGGACACUCUGUUACAGCAUAGAGGGAAGGGUCUUCCACCGAGGGACUCACGGAUGUAGGCCUCAAAGCUCAGCAAGGAAGAAGCCGGUCUGAGCUUAUUUAUACCCUGAAGUCAUCACAUGCCCAUUUCUUAUUACUACUGCCCUUUCCACUGCCCUCGUUAAAAUCAUCCCCCUCACUCUGAAAUGAGUUGCCAUCUUCAAGCCCAUUAAGAGUAUCAAUUUGGCAUUGGUGACAGAGGGAACUGCUUUUUCUUUUCUCAAGAAGAAAAGAAGGUUUUAGCAGUAUGAUCCUUAGAGACACAUGGAAAAAUUAGGGGAAUUUUUUUGAAGAGAAAUGAAGGCUUUAAUUAUAGGAUUCUGGAGACAGAGACAAAAAAACAUUCUCCAUGGUUUUUGCCAUCUUUUAUCCAUUACAAAAUCUCUUACAGGCAUGGAUUAUUUCUGGCAUGUUAUUUGGAGUCUGGCACACUGGUUAUCAAUAGCAUGUUAAAUGUUGAUGCCUUAAUAAUGUUAUUCUAUACUGGGCUUCCAAAACCAGUACUGUGGCUACAGCUUCCCUAGGAAGGCAAGCAAGCUGAGCUUCCAUGUGGCAUCAAUUCCCUCAGAUGUCUGUGUCGAAAGGAAAAAGAUCCCAAAUGGCUCUCAUCAACUAAAUAACCAAGGAAAAUGAUUAUAAAGUAAUUAUUUUUAAAUUUGAACAGGAAGCAUUGUUGUUCCAAAUGUUUCUUUAAAAAUGAGUA